AAAUUGAUUUCCUAGUACGGCGAGUGAAGAGGAAGAGCUCAAAGUUGGAACCUGUUUGGCCUAGCUAAACCGGAUUGUAGACUGUAGAAGUGUUUUCCAGGCAAGCCGAGUAAAUAAGUCCUUUGGAACAGGGCAUCAUAGAGGGUGAGAAUCCCGUCUUUGGCUUGAGCAUUUGCCUUUUGUGAUACGCUUUCAAAGAGUCAGGUUGUUUGGGAAUGCAGCCUAAAUUGGGUGGUAAAUCUCACCUAAAGCUAAAUAUUGGCGAGAAACCGAUAGCGAACAAGUACCGUGAGGGAAAGAUGAAAAGAACUUUGAAAAGAGAGUUAAACAGUAUGUGAAAUUGUUAAAAGGGAACCGUUUGGAGCCAGACUGGCUUGUCUGUAAUCAAUCUAGGCUUCGGCCUGGAUGCACUUGCAGGCUAUGCCUGCCAACGACAAUUUGACUUGAGGGAAAAAACUAGGGGAAAUGUGGCCCACUUGUGGGUGUUAUAGUCCCUUAGAAAAUACCUUGGGUUGGAUUGAGGAACGCAGCGAAUGCUUAUUGGCGAGUUUUCCAGGAAGGUUUUCUGAGGUACUACGGUAUCAAGGUUGAUCUUUUUGGUUAUACUUCUAUUCGCUUAGGUUGUUGGCUUAAUGACUCUAAAUAACCGCGUCUUGAACCACGGACCACAA
rnacentral:rRNA from 1 species